rnacentral:rRNA from 1 species
AUUGAACGCUGGCGGCAUGCUUUACACAUGCAAGUCGAACGGUAACAGGCCUUCGGGUGCUGACGAGUGGCGAACGGGUGAGUAAUGCAUCGGAACGUACCCAGAGGUGGGGGAUAACGCAGCGAAAGCUGUGCUAAUACCGCAUGUGAUCUGAGGAUGAAAGCGGGGGACCGAGCAGCAAUGUUUGGCCUCGCGCCUUUGGAGCGGCCGAUGUCGGAUUAGCUAGUUGGUGGGGUAAAGGCCUACCAAGGCGACGAUCCGUAGCUGGUCUGAGAGGACGCCCGGCAACACUGGGACUGAGACACGGCCCAGCCCCCGACGGGAGGCAGAAGGGGGGAAUUUGGGACAAGGGGCGCAAGCCUGACCCAGCAAUGCCGCGGGAGGAAAGAAGGCCUUCGGUUUUUAACCCGUUUUGGCCAGGAACGAAAGGUUGUCCCCAAAUCCCGGGGGUUAAUGACGGUCCCUGAAGAAUAAGCACCGGCUAACUACGUG